GGAUCUGUAGCUCAGUCAGUAAGAGCGCCCGUCUGAAAAACGGGAGGCCGCAAGUGCGAUUCUUGCCGGAUCCA
rnacentral:tRNA from 1 species